GCCUAGCUGGCUCAGUCGGUAGAGGAUGUGACUUUUGAUCUCAGGGUGGUGAGUUCAAGCCCCACAUUUGGCA
rnacentral:tRNA from 1 species